rnacentral:sRNA from 1 species
GCUUUUUAAUAGUAAUCCGGAUUUUUUCCGUAAUUGAUUUGAGUUUUACUAUUUUCUUAAAACUUCCUAUGUUUGUAUGUGUUCUGGUUGUUCAUUUGUUGAAUAAUUGUCUCCCAGUUGACUUUAUCCAAUCACGAGUCCGUUUAUGCUAUGUUUGAGAUAAAGCCUAAAAAUGUCUGGACAUGUGGUGGAAAGAGGCCAAGCCGAUGUUCAGUCCAUUGACAAGGGCCUCCGAAAUAGCUGGAGAUGGGAGUGGCUUGAGAAGGGGGUGGAAGAGUUUAGAACACUUAACGAAAAGGGUUCACAGGGACAACAUAAAAAUUCAAGAAUCGAACUACAAACUGUCAAGUACGUUUGGUACUUCAAAACCUUCCCCCAAACUUCCAUAUGGACUGAACCCCAUUUACAAAACUGUUGUUGCAGAAGAAAAAGUGGCUGCGCCAAUAACACCCAUAAGUGAUCGUUAUUGCUAAUGCUAAAGCAAUGGUGCUAGCAUUUGCAGCAGAACAUUCAUUGUUAUUCGCUCUUGUGCCCAAAGUCAUAGAACUUACUAAAGCAUUAGCUAAAGCUCAGAAAGCUUUGGAGUCUUUAACAAUGAAUCGCACUGCAGCCUCCUAUUCAACAAGAUAUGAAGUGGGGAAAACUUUUGAACAUUAUGUUACAGAGAUGAUGAAAUGUACAAAAUUCUCAUUAAUAAAUUUCAUAGAGUGUUGACAAUUCUUGUUUGCUUUUAUUGUCCUGUGAUGAGGCAAGUUAAAGUUUGUCACUUUGGAUCACUCUCCUGCAUUAAAGUUGACAGUGCAACUCUGUAUGAAUAUGAUGUCAAUUUUCAUGGAUUCAUGCAAUGUGAUGAGAGGGUCAAAAACAGGAUUAGAAACUCGUAUACGUAGAGAAAAAGCUCCAUACCUUCUGGAUAUAGAUGGAGAUGUAUGUCAUCAUGUCCAUAGUGCUGCUAAAGCAUUUUGUAAACCAUUCAAAAACUUUAUAGAGCAGUUGUACAUUGACCUUUUCAAUGAUUUUAAAUGGUCAGCUGAUUUAAGAGAACUGUUUCAGGAAAUAUGUCUGAUAUGUAAUGUGAAAUACACCAUGCCACAAAGAUAUGUCAGUCAUAGAUGGCUCUCUGUUGAUGAUGUUACUUUGGAUGCCUUGAGACUUUUAGACUGUCUUACAUUGUUUUAUUUCCCAUGGAUUUCUGGGUCAUUAUCGGAAAGGGCCAAGUUUCUACCAGUAACAGCAGAGAUAAUUCACCGACUUAAUGUUUCAGAGUCCUCAAGAAACAGAUUGCAUGAAAUCAGAAUGGUGAGUUUUGGCUGUUGCCUAUUGUGUUUCUCUUGAUCAAGUCAUUGAUAAUAAAAAUGUGCAAUUAAUUGAAUUGAUUUGUUGAUUUAUUUUUUUGUUCG